UAAUAACACCGUGAUGUGGCAAAUAAUA
rnacentral:sRNA from 1 species